UGAAUGGGGAAUUGGAGCCUGCCAGUCUCCCCACAAUCCCCAUUGGUCUCCCAAAUGACUAUGAGGAAGUGAAAUCGGCCUACUCUCUUUAAGGUGUCCAAUAACAAGACCGUUGUUGUUGCUCCUUUUUGGGAUAACCCUUUUCCUCGACAAAGAAAAAACUGCCACAAGUGAGUUGUGUCGCACUCGUGUCCCCAGGGACUGCGAGUGGAUUGGGAGGGAUUCGUGCACUAUAUACUGACAGAUGGGUCCUUGUUUCUGUCUUUUUUUCUUCAUCUCCAUCUCCCUCUGCCUCCCUUGCCAAAGCGCAGACACACUCGCACACAUCAAGACAACACCAAUACAAUAGGAAUUAAAGCCCUGGUCUACACACAUGCUCUUUGGCCUGCUCCUGAAAGCUGAGCCCCUCGCAGCGAUCAUAAAAGGAGCCUGGAUUUGUGUGAGGAGUUGGCGUGCUAAGACAUGGGAGGGGUGAUGUGGCACAUGGGUGGUAAAGCUGCAGAGAUAAAUUUGUAUCAUUGUCCAAUAAAUAAUUUUCCACUUGUGAA